rnacentral:lncRNA from 1 species
UUUUAUUGCAAAAUAAAAAUUAAGAUUUGAUUUUUGUAAAAUAAAUAAUAAUUAUUGAAAUUAAUAAAUUCUAUUCUAAUUAUAUAAUAUAAAAUAGGUGAACUAAACAAGCAUUCGAAAUAUCAAUCAUUUUUAUACCAGUAAUAUACAAUAUUUAGUCACAUAAAUUAAAUAAUUUAGAAAAUUUAAGACAAAAAUUACAGCAUUAAUAACGAAAUAUAUAAUUUAGCCUAAUUUUUAAAUAUGUGGACUAGGUUGUUCUAGGAAAUUGGUCCAUCUUGGACCAGGCUUGGGUUGUAGUAACUGCAGGACUACGUACGAAAAUAAAUAGCUUUUAAUGUGUAUUGUACGUAUAUAGCUAGCUACUCAAUUGCAGUAUAUUGCCCCAUUGCUACUAACCACAAAAGGUUGUUAGUAAAUUCCUAAUUACAAGGACCCCAGAGGGGGGUUCAGUCUAAAAAUUUGAGUGACGUAGUGAAAUGCACGUGAAAUAAGAAUUUAAGAAAUAGUGUUACUUUUAAAAAUACUUAUAUAGACUCUGAUGGUAACUAAGAUUAGGACGUUGGCAAUCUAGUAAAAAAUUAUUUUAUCGUCUGAAAGCCAACAUUUUUAGUUUUUUUAUUUUCUUUGCUUCUUGUUUCUGCUGAGAUUUUUUUUUUUUUUUUGCCUCGUCGAUGCAUACUAUUUUUUUCUUGAAAAAUAAAAAUAAAAAUAAAAGUGAACUAAAUCAGCAACUGCAGUAGCAGCAGCAGAAUGACGAUCGACAAUGCAAACGUAGGUAGCUAGCUCGCCUGCACAAAAAUGCGGUCGGGCAGCUGCGCGACAGUCUUGAGGAGGUAGUCCGUGGCCCACCUGACGGCGGCGGCGGCAUGCCGCAGCUCGUCGGACGGCAUUUGCGCGCCGAACUCGACGACCCCCCACGCGAGCAUGGUGGCGGUGAACGCCAUCGGGAACCCGAACUUGACGUUGUCGCCCGCGUCGUAGUACCCGCCCGCCAGGUCGACGCCCACCCCCGCCCCGUCGGACAGUCCGGAGUCCCCGCGCCAGCUCGCGCGCUGGCCGCCGCCGGCGGGCAGACGGCCCGACCGCUGCCCCUCGAAGAACAGAAUCGACUUCGCCAGCGCGCCGCGGUAGUCGUGAUGACGGCCUGCAGGAACGGCGCGGACGCGCGAGGGAGGGGAGAGCAGCAGCAGCAGUAGUAAUAGUAGAAGUAGUAGGAAAAUGUGUAGUGUCAUUUUUUCUUUUUUUUUUUUAAAAAAAAAAAAAACUAUUUGGGGGGGGCGGGGGGGUGGUUAGUUUUGUUUGGUUUGAUUUGAUUUGGCGCGGUAGUGGAUUUAUAGAUGGGAAGGGGACAAAGGUGGUUGAUCACGGGCGGGAGAGGUGGUGAUGAGCGUUUUUUAAGGGGUUGUGUGGUUUUUUGGAGUGAAUGCCGACACGGGCGGGAAGGGGAGUGUGCCAGUAGAGAGGUCACAUGCCAUGUUAGGACUUCGGUCCCAAAAGAAGCAAAAAAAAAAAAAGAAAAAAAAAAAAAGGAGAAGAGGUGGGGCAAAGAGAGAAUCCGAAAAAGGGGUGUGUGUGAAGCUACCGUACCUUUCUUGCGUAAAUGUUAAAUUUUGUUGUCUCUCUACAAUAAAAAUGGUCUAUAGCGACACUUUUAAAUAUAGAUACAUAUUAAAAAAAUACUGCUAGCUAAAAUUAUCGACACUUUUAAAAAGUAUUGCUAUAUGUGGGAUCGCUAGGUAUAUAGCAACAGUUAAAGAGUGUCGCUAUAACCUAAAAGAGUGCUGCUAAUUUACCAACACUUAUUUCAGUAUUUAGCAACCGCCGAAACUCUAUCUCGUUGGCUGCGGUGGCGGAGGAGGACGACAGGAAAGGCUCUUCGUCUAGAAUUUCAGUGGAUUGAGUGAAGAGAGAAGAAAAGAUGGUAAUUGAUUUUUCUUUUUUUUUUUCAGAAAUGGAUUGAGUAGAGUAAUUUUUUAUUUUUGGUUGAAUUGGGCUUUAUAUUUAGGCAUUAAUAGAUGUUUUUUUAAAUUUUAGCAUAAAUAGAAUACUUACUCAAAAGUGUCCCAAACAUGUGUCCCUAUAACCUAAUUCUGUUGUAGUGUCUGAUUUUUUAUAAUUUUAUUUUGUUAAAAUAUCGUAAUUAACUUUAUCUCGACACUUUAAAUACAGAAGAAAAAAAUAAAAGAAAAAAAAAAAACUAUUGUUUUUUUUUUCGUCAUUCUAUAUGUAGUUAUAAUAAUUUUUAAUAAAAAAAAAAAAAAACUACAGUUAUUGACUUUCUAUCAAACAAUCGAGUAUGGGAGAUUUUUCUUCUCGCCUAAACUUCAAUUCAAUUAAGAGUCGUUUUUCUUUUAAAACUUGCUUACAGCUAAAUAAACAGGGGCAUAAGGCUCUGUUUGAUUGCGGAAAGAUCAUGUUAUGCGUGAUCAUCACAAAUUAUAAUAGAAAAAUAUACUUUUUGUUUUCUUAUGCAGUUUUAUGUUAUGCAUAUUACAAUAAAUUGAUUAUUAUAUACUCUUUGGCUCCGUUUGGUUCGAAUAUAAAUAAGAAUUACGUAUUUUAGGACUAGGUACAAGUUCAAAUAUAAACGAGAACUAAACUAAUUUUGCGUUCAGAUGAAAAUUAUGUUAUUUCUGGGAAUAAGAAAAAUAGCAUUUGAAUAGAUAAGAUGGUAUAAAAAAUAUUAUGUAUAGUUAUAAAUAAAAAAUAAUAAUAUUACCCCUCUCAUUAUAUUUGAAUUUAAAUUUUAAAAAUUUACAUUUAUAAUUUUAAAUUUUAAAUUUUAACUUUUAAAUAUUAAAUUUUGAAUUUAAAAAUUAAAACUUAAGACCAAAUUUAAAUUUUAAAAAUAUCAAAUAUUUAAAAUUUAAAAUUUAGAAUUUUAAAUUAUAAGCUUUAAUUUUAAAAUUAUAAAUUUAAAUCUCAAAAAAUUUUAAACUUUAAUUUGAAAUAAAUCUCUCUCUCUCUCUCCUCUAUAGAGGGAAUAAGGGGUGGGAACAAGCUUGUUCCCAGUUCACACCCAUAGCAAAAGAGUGUUUGGGUACAAGAGGGGGGAUAAAGGCCUUAUCCCCCCUCUUGUACCCAAUUCAAACAGUUUUAUGAUCCCACUCAAAAAUAAAGAAGCAUAUAUAUAUAUAUAUAUAGAGUCCGGCUACUAUACUUUUAUGAGUAUUGACUCUUUUAUACUCAUAAGUUUUUGAUCCUUAGAUUUAUUUUAUUAAUCAUUUCCAUCCGUUAGAUCAUACUAUUUAACCAACUACCCACUCAACCCUAGGGAACCACUAUCAUUUUAAGUGGGGAUCACCAUCAUCCUAACCACACAUCUGAUCAAUCAACGGUUAAAAAAUUAUGAGUACAUGGGGGUCUAUACUCAUAAGAGUAUAGUGGUCCCAGCCUAUAUAUAUAUAUAUAUAUAUAGAAUUAGACUGGAAUACGAUCAACAGCACCAAACUAUUGGUGCUAUUAAUUAUUUAACCCUUGGAUUGAGAAAUGUGUUGUUAGAAUGAUGUCGGUCCCCUAGGGUUGAGUGAGCGGUUGGUUCUAAUGGGUAAAAAUAAUUAAAGGGUUAAAUCUAAUAGUGAAAAACUCGAUAGGUGCUAUCGAUAGUAUCCCAUCCGGACUAUAUAUAUAUAUAUAUAUAUAAUGAUGUGGGUCCCCUAGAGUUGAGUAAGUGGUUGGUUCUAAUGGGUAAAAAUAAUCAAAGGGUUAAAACUAAUGGUGGAAAAGUCGAUAGGUGCUAUCGAUAGUAUUCCAACCAGACUCUAUAUAUAUAUAUAUAUAUAUAUAUAUAGAGAGAGAGAGAGAGAGAGAGAGAGAGAGAGAGAGAGAGAGAGAGUUGAGCUAUAAUACUUUUACAAGUAUCACCAUCAUGGUGCUAUUAGGUUUUAAGCCAUUGGAUCUAUUUUUUGUUUAUUAAUGGCCCUUGGAUUAAACACUAUUCCACCUACCACUACCUACCACCACCUACCACCAUCAUCUCAACCUCACAUCUCUCCAUCCAAGGGCUAAAAACACACAAGUAUCACCCCCAUGAUACUUUUACAAGUAUUCUAGUCCUACUCUAUAUAUAUAUAUAUAUGUUUUUUGUGCCAACAAUGUUUUAAUUGCCUAAUAACAUUAGAUGGAAUCUACUGCUUGGUUUGAAAUUACAAGAUAUGUUACAGUAAACUAUAUCAAAUUUGUAUAAAUUACAGCAAUUUGAUUAUUAUAUAUUUCUGAGGCUACGUCAAAAAACAGAAAAACAUUGCUCUAUGUGUUUCUCCUCAAUUUCUUUUGACCCAACAGCAUUAGCCUUCAAUAUGAGAUGAGACAUAAUAAGAUGAAAGUGUUGGCUUAAAUGGGCCAGCAUUCUGCCCUGUCGGGAAGGCCAUAUGGGCCGAGUCAUGUUCGAAAUGGCGUGAGGCUGGGUUGAGUCGAGUCAUGUUCGAAGUGACGUGAGGCCAGGUGGGCCGAGUCACAAUCGAGACCCGUGGGCACUGUUUCUGUACACUUUAAGUGAAUUGGUUCCGUAUUUCUAAUAGCUCGAGUUUUUGAGAUUAAUGGUUAGCACCAACGAUUCGACAGAAAAGUGCGCGGAUAGGCUUAGGGAUGGUUAUAAUUUGAUUUCAACCGAAUCAAAUCAAACCAAACCAAAUAAAAUAAUUUGGUUCAAUUUAUUUGGUUUCCAUUUGGUUCAAUUGCGAAAUAGUUAAUAUUCGGUCUUCAAUUUCAGUUCGGUUUUGUCAUGCAUUUUUCUUAAUUAACCAAACCGAAAACCUCACUCACGCUUUUUAUUCAUUAAAUCUUAUAUUUGUAUACAUUAACACUCUUUCCACAACAAAUAUUUCAAAUUGGAUAGUCUAAAUUUUUUUUUUUUUUUUUGUAUGUAAUUUUCCUGCAGAUUCAAUUUUGAUUUUUAAAUCAUGAAAUAACAUGCAAGGAAAACAAGAUUUCCAAAACCCUUUUGUUGAGCUGUUUGGUUUGGUUCAGUUCUAAGAAUAAAUUAGUUUGGUUCGGUUCCAGAUUUUUCCAAACCUAAAAUUUUGAUUCGGUUAAAAAAAAUUUCUAAACACUGAACCAAACCGAACCAAGUGCACCUCCACAUAGAGUACUCCCCUAAAGACUCUAGUCUAAUCAUGUGUUACACUUUAAAUCUCUAUUUAGCGGAUCAUGAUUUUAGAUUAGUUAUGAUAGCAGUAACAAAAUAAAAAAACUAGUAUGCAUAUUUACUAUGGAGCAAUGUGGCCUUUUAUCUCUCUUUGAACUAGAUUGAGGAAAUUAACGGUUUAUAUGAAGCUUUACAUUGAUGAUCCACAGCAAAUUAGAGCUUCAAACAUUUUACAAAGUCAAAAAAUUUGAUCACUGAUCAUUGAUCGAAUUUGACCAAAUUUAAAGGACCUGCUCUGUUCAUAGUUGUUAAUAACAAAAUCAGUGAAAUGUUUUAGGUUCAUUCAUUUGCGAUUCUCAGGGAUUGUCUCUUUCAAUAGUAAGAACAACACCACACUAGAGCCCAAGUGAUCACAUGAUCCUUUUAGAUCAGCUAAAUAGCUUCCUCCUUUUGGAGUAAAUAAAAGUGAAAGCCACCACAAAAGAUAAAAUUAGAGCAUCUUAUAGAUAGUAUGCAGGCUCACACCCUUAAUUAGUUGGUUUCAUUUGUAUAUUUUAUUAAUUCCUUUUCACAUAGUUAGUACUUGAUUCAAAAAGGAAUAUAGGGGAAUCUAUUCAUUUAAUUUACUUAAGUUAUGUGGUACAUAGUUAAUGCAUUAGAAAUUAAUUCAUGCAAUUCACCAUAUGGAUAUAUAUCUAGUUGACAGUGACUAAUUAAAGAAUUUACUUUACAAAAAUGUUUUUUUUUUUUUUUUUUUGAGAGAGAGAUAGGUAGCACGCUACUCGCUUCGUUUAUUUCAUUUAGAAAUAAACUUAGCUGCAAAUGUGAAUCAACUAGGAUUCAAACUUGGAACCUCGAGUAUCAACCACCAAGCCCUUUGCCACUUGCUCUAGAAACGAUCGGUUACUUUACAAAAAUGUUGAUCAAGCAAAGCUAGCUACACCCUUGACCCUACUUGUGAGAGUUCUCAUAUUAGGAAGUAGUGACAUGUAUAUGAUCUGCUUGUUAUGUGUAAUUUUCCUAGCCAAUGGUCCCACAAAUAAUACCCAUCUUCUCUCCCUCUCCACAAAAAAAAAAAAAAAAAAAAGAGAAAAAGAUUAAAGAAAGAAUUUAUGCAGAUCAUAAGAAGAAUAAAGGAGGGGACUGAGUAAUAAAAAAGAUCCUGAUCUCUAAUUAAAAAUUACAUAUGAUUCAACAUCAUUCUAAUUCUAAAGCACUUCUGCCAAAACAUGGGUCAUUCAACCUGAAAUAUAAACAAAAAUCGUACACAUACUAAGUAAUCACUUUUCAAAAUUAGAUUAAAAAAAUGGCAAGUUAAAAAUGUAUAUAAUCAAUACCUAAUGUGAGUGUACAUUUAUCCUUCUAUGUAUAUAUCUUCGCUUUCCUUUUGAAGAAUACCAUGUUUAAGUUUGUAAAACCAUGAAUUUAGAGCUGCAAUGCAGGUUUAAUUGUAGUUGGCCUAAAACAUACAUUAUUUCAUUUUAUUUGAACUUAUCUACAGUAAUUGGAUCUACAAAAGAGGGGUCCAACUGUUGCAAAUGAACCUACACCAAAUUGGCUAUUGGUAAUUAAUGCUGAUUGCAAGUUCAUGCCACAACUUAUUAAUCAUUCCAUUAGUAGAGUCGUUAGCCACUUUUUUAGUGCUGGAGUGAUUGCUUGUCUCUCUUUUAGUGUGUAAUUUAGAAUAAGUGAUUCUUUUAUGGUUUGCUUUACAUGUUUAAUUACACUUUCAUUUCAUUUCCUUAGAUUAGGCUGAUUUGAAUUGAUCGUUGACACUUUGGAUAGUGGUUGCGUGGGAGUACAGAUUUAUAUUGCAUAUAGAAAUUCACUUUAUUUUUUAUGAUCAAAUUACUGACACUCUUUACUACGGCAGCUACUCACACUGGUACUAGACAUUGAUCAUGCACCAUUUUAAAUGAUUUAUAUAAUAAACGAAAAUAUUCGAUAAAGAAUAGCUUUUACAAAAUUUAAGAAAAAAUUGGAGGAAUGCAUCAGUUAUUUCUAAAACACCAACAGAUAUAUACACCAGUAAUUAAUUGACCCUCUUUUUCUUUUCACUAUUAUUUUCUCUACAUUUAGCAUCAUUAACUUCCAACAGAAAAAAGAAAAAAAAAAAAAAAGAGCCCUACUUUCCUUUUGGGCUAUUUAUUGUUCUUUAUAUAUUCUGCUUCCACUGAUGAUUGUUGUCAAAAGUGAGAGAGAGAGAGAGAGAGAGAGAGAGAGAGAGAGAGAGAAUCUCAUCUUCUCAGUACAGCUUUAAUUUCCCCUUAAGAUCCCAAAUGUCUCCAACCAACUUCAUUGACAAGCACAAGCCCUUUUUGUGAUUUGCAGUACUUAGACUUUGCUUGCUAGAGCCAAAAACAAUAGAUGCUAUACUCUCUCUCUCUCUCUCUCUCUCUACUGUACGGCACCGUUUGGUGAGGAGAUAGGGAUAGGAAUAGACUCUUAUCCCCCUUUAUACCCAAACACUAAUUUUUUAUCCGAAAAUAGUAGUUCUCGGUUAUCCCCACCAAUACUUCAUUUUCUAUAUAAAACUAUCUAAAAUUAUUCUUAUCUCCGGGAACAAUCCAAUUUUCAUUCAAACGCUAUUUUUCUUAUCUCCAUACUUGUACCUAUCCCUGUAAUAGCUAGUUCUUACUUAUACCCGAACCAAACGGUACCUUUGAUAUAUAUAUGGCCCAAAGAUCAACUGCAAUGUGCUUUAUGCUUGAACAAGCAAGCAUACCAUGCACUCCAACAUCUCUAUCCUCUUUUGACUAAUGGGUCCAUGAAAAGAUCAAUAAGUGUUUUAUUGUUAAGGACAAAGGAACUAAAAAAAACCAGUGUGGAGGGAUUUUAAUACUAGCAAAGUAUGAUGCCAAUAUCAAACAAUGUCAAUACAUUGAAAGGACUAGCUAGCUUGUUCUUGCAAUUCGGGCUCCGAAUCUGUGUUCGCGUUCAAAAUAUUAGUUUGUGUUUAUGUUUACUAUUCAUGUCAUUUCGCAUUGUGUUGUAUUUUUCUGGGUUAAAUAGAUUUUGUGUUGUUUCAAUUUUAGAUUUCGCUUAAUAAAUUUGUAUCUUGUUUGAUCGUUUUGGAUCAUAUUAUUGUGUGUCGUGUUUGAAAGUGCCAUCUCUUUUAUCUAGACUGUGCUCUGUAGGUCUAAUAGAAGUUGAUUUUAAAAUUUGAGAACUACUUUUGUUUAUUGGUUGCUGAUGUGUUAGUAAAUUUAUAUAACUGCUUAAACUAUAACCACAGAUCAACUAAUACUUUUAAUAUCAUAUAUGUCAAUACAUCAAUAGUAUAUAUACUAAACGUGUUAAUCUAGGUUAGCCGUAGCAACACUCUUUGUAAUAUUUUGCUCGGACGCAACUUAAAUAUGCGAAGUUUAAUGUUUUAUGUACAUUUAAAAGCUUGGAGUUAAGCAUCUACACUUGAAAAAGAAUCUGAAUAUUUUAAAAAGAUGAGUACUGCAUCAUAUGUUGCCAUGACUUUCAUCAAUCCACCAUCAUUUAGACUACAUUAAUUUCUCCAAAUUCAGACCCCAAUUUAUUCUUUACUAGUUUCUAUAUAUUAAUUUGCAACUUUAACUUCCCUAAAAUCCAAAGUUUCAUCUGUAACAAAUAAACCCUCUAAGUUUUAUAUAUGCGUACACAUAUAUGAUUGCAAAUUUUAGCUACCUAAUUAUUUACCUCUAUAAGCUCAUUACAUAAAAAAUGUCUUUCAAAAUCCACCAUCUCUGAAUAAAUUUGGUUCUUUCGAAGACGUAACGUAUAUAUAAAUCCAUUUAAUCAAUAAUAAUAUGCUUUCUUUUAAAAAAAGUAAAUCAUCAUACAAAUAUUUCACUGUUAUUAAACAAGAAAUGAAAAUAUACAAAUUAGAAAUUUAAUUUUCUUUGGGUAAAUUGCACUACUAGUCUCUAAUUAAAUUUUAUUUCGAGUUUCAUUUUGAAUCUCGAGCUUAUGAUUUUGGCAUUCGAGACCCGAAGCUAUCAAUAAGGUUUCAUUUUAGUCUCUCAACUUUCAAAAAUAUCUCACUUGAUUCAUAUGUUAGAUUAAAAAAUUAUUGUAUGUUCCUGAUUUAUUUUGUAUGUUUACAUCCUAAAUUUAUUGGUUCUUCAUACUUUCAAUUCAAUGGUCCAAUUAAGAAACAUUGCAACUCAAUGAACUAAACGGUAGGAACUGAAAAUACAAGAUUAAAAAAAAAAGAAUUGAUAAAUUUAUGGUUUAAAGAUAUGCAUAUGCACUAUAUAGGUGAAGGCAAUAAUAUGCACAAGGACUAAAGUGAAACUUUUUUCAAGAGCUUAGGGACUAACAACAUCAAACGUGAAAGUUUGAGGACCAAAAUAAGAAUCUGCCAAAAGUUUAGGGAGCAGUGGUGCAAAUUUUCCCAUUUUCAUUUGGAGUUUGUUAGUUGAGUUUGCAUUGAGAAUCACCUUACACUUUAAUUAUUAUAAAAAAAAAAUCAAAAAAUAAUAGUUGGUUAAGGGAGGUUAAUGGACCGGGCGGGGUUCGGGCCUAAUUUGUUCGCAACUUUUGAACCAAACUUGGGCCCUUAUUGGGCCUACCCAAAAUUUGUUUCAAUUUCGUUGGGUUUGUGUUCGCAUCUAAUUUUUUAACCCGAAAUCAUUGUGCAUCGCGUUGAGCCCAAAAAUGAUGUGAAGGGUCUAGAAACCUAGCCGGAGUAUAUCUACAUAAUUGUUAUUUGAGUAGAGCAUUGCUCGAAAAAUAAUAAUUUCUUACUGUAGUUGAAAUAGAAGGUCUAGAGCUUCUACAUUUAAGCUCCUGACAAAACAACCGUUCUAGAUUUUGUUCACCACAUGUCUGACUGCUAUCUCUUCGGUUAAAAGUUGUUAGAAAACUUGCAACAACAAAAGCGUAGUAUCGAAUAUUUUGAGCGAUCGACGAAUACCGGUAUAUAUAUAUGCGGUGGUAUUACAUGUUCAAUAAUGUUAUACAGUAAAAACACUCUUUUAUCUUUUCAUGGGGCCUUUCUAAAGCCUGUUUUAUUUUUUGAGGGUCUUGGGUUCUUGGAUGAUCAUUUGGUGACAUGACUCUCCAAUUUAAAAUUUCUUUUUUAAGCACCAAACUUAAUAAAUUGUUCUGCAGCUUUGUUUAUUUUUGAACAUUAUGACCAACAAGAAUUUGUACCUUGUCAUUUUCUUUUGUUUUCUUUUGUCCCCCCUCCAUCUUUUGAUGCUUGAUUGGGUUUUGUAGCAGUGCAAUUAUUUGGUUGAUUUAUUGCAAGUGAAAUAAUUAGCUGUCCACAAACCCCCAAAAAACUCUCUUUCAUAUGAUUGUUUAAUAUUGGUGCAAUUAUGCCUUCCUCUAAAUUAUAAGGUGUUUGCGCAAUGCGUGAAUAUGUAACCAAGAAAAUUUUUCGAAUUGUUGACGCUAAUCAUUAAUCUUAAAAAUUUGAACGAUUAGAAAUACACAAUCAAUUUAUUUAAAGCGUACAGAAAGCAUCACAGAUUUCUAUUGUAGCUCCGCCCAACUUGCCUCACACAUUUCGAAUAUGACUCGGUCUAAUCUAGCCUCACACCAUUCCGAACGUAACUCAGUCCAACUUAACCUUUCGUCACAGAGCACGAUGUUGGCUCAUUUAAACCAACAAAAUCUACUAUAUCACACUUAUACUGCAUCAUCAAUAACUAAUUAAUCACAUCUUCUUUUAUAAAAAUACAUAAUGAAAAUAUUUUUUUAUAAUUAUAAUGGGAUGAAUAAAUUUAAAAAAAAAUUAUUUAAUUAACUAAAAACGUCACAUCACCGAUAUAACUAAUGCAUUCUAAAAUUUUUCGUAUGGAACUCAUGCGACCCCAUAAGUCAAUAUAUUUCGUGGCCCACAAGUCAAUUGUGCCUUUUUUUUUUUUUUUUCUAUUUUCAAAUUUUUAUUUAUAUUGAUCCAAAAAUACUUCUACUAUAUAGGAGCAGUUGUAACCAAACAAAUAUGCCUAGUCCAACCCAUGUGAAGCUUAAUUAAUUCUUUUCAUAUUUCCUUUCACAAAAUGCAUGUUUAGAGAAAGGAAAAGCAUAACAAGCACAUGGUGUGCAAAGUACAUCCAAAUUUCCUUUCGUGCGAGAAGGAAAAUUGUUCUUGGCAAGUCUAAUGCUCACCUCCUCUCCAUGUCAACAGAUCGAAUUCGGAACAGAUUUUUAACGAUCCGAAUUCGAAGAUUUUUAACGAUCCGAAUUCGAACCCGACUACCAAAUUCGAAAUCCAAAUUUGAAUCCGACUCCGAUGAAUUUUAAAAUUCAUAUUCAAAUCCAAACCUGACCAAAAAUUCGAAACCCAAAACUGCAAACCCGAAUCUGAAAUAAUUAUUUCUCUUUACAAUAUUUCAAAACAUAUUACAUUAAAUCUAAAUUUUUAAAAUAUAAAUUCAAAUAUAAUAUCAAACAUUUAUAUAUAUAGGAUCCGGCUGUGAGGUCUCCAUACUACUAAAUUUUGGAGGUCUCCGUACUACCAAAUUAUUUUGGAUAAUACGGAUUCCAAAUUAACGUCUCUCUCUGUAUAUAUUAUAAUGUAAAAUGUAACGAUCUAACCCGUUAGUAAUAAUAAUUCGUUAGGCUCAAACCACCGGCCCAAAAUGAUUAGGCUCAGUCAUUAUUAGUAGCAUGUAGGUCUUAUAUAAAUUGAUCGGAAUCAGUAUCCCAUCCGAUGUGGGAUUAUUGAGGCGUUAUAUAAAAUCAAUUCGAGUUCAGAUCAGAUACAGUCAAAAUUCAUACCCGAAUCCGAAUCCAUCUAUUUUUCGUUUUUUAUAUUUAUAUCUGAAACUAUAUCCGUUUAGUAUUGGAUAUAUCCAUUUUAUUCAGAUUCGAAUUCGGAUGAAAUUUCGAGUAUCCGUAACCACUAACAUUGCUACCACCUGUAGAGUUGUCAACGGGUUGGAUUCGGGGCGGAUUUUCAAAAACCCGAAUCCGAACCUGACGAAUUUUAAAAAUCCAUAUCCAAACCGACCAAAAAUCCGAAACUUGAACCUGAACCUGAAGCAAUUAUUAUUAUUUUUUCAAUAUUUCAAAAUAUAUAUUAUAAUAAAUAUGAAUUUUUAAAAAACAAAUUCAAAUAUAAUAUUAAAUUUAUAUAUAUAAAUAUUAUAUAUAAUAUAAAAUAAAUUUGGGUUCGGAUUUGGGUUCGAGUCGGGUACAGUUACAAUCCAUAUCCGAAUCCAUAUUCGUCGGAUUUUUAUUUUUGAUAUCCAUAUUCGAAUCCAUAUCCAUUUAGCAUCGAAUAUAUUUGUUUUAUUCGAUUUGAAUUCGGAUACAAUUUUGAGUAUCCGUACCCAUUGACAUCCCUAACUACCUGCAAUCUCCUAAAGCGCUACCAUACCAUACAUGUGCACCUUACGUUUGCGUGCAACAUGAAUGCGCAAGAAUAGCGCAAUAUGUGAUGAGAUGCACGCUAUUUAAAAAAAUAAAGUCCCGUGGUAUUUAUCAGUUCACACAUGCCUAAACUAUAGGCAGAGAGUUUUCAAACUUAGACUAAUGAAUCCACUUCAUUAGACCUGCAGUCCAAAGUAUGAGCCUGAGAUAUAGGGCCUGUUUGGUUGCGCAGAAUGUACGUGUGCUUCACAAGCGGCUGUUUGAGAAAAGCUCCGCAUGUUGAGCUUUCUCAAAACGCCAUCUUUUUGUGGUUGCACGUCGCGAACAUGAUGUAGUGCCCCUCUGGAAUUUAGCUGUCGAACUAGUGUUUCUUAUACUAUUUAUAGGUGCUUCUAUCGUUUCGUGGGCAUAAUAUUUUCUGUGUAUGCGGAGGAUCUGCUUGCGAGUCUGGAUAGAACUGGAACCCGGGGCGCAUGACACAUUGAGCGUGACCACAUGGCCAAACACCUACGUAACCUCAAAAUCGGCUUUCAAACAUCUUACAACUAAACCAGUAGUGAUUGAGUAAAAUAACUAUUAUUUGUAUCACUCAUCCAUGAUGCUGCACAUUGAACAAAAUAUCUAUAAAAAUAAAUUCCUUGACGACGAAAAUACUUAUUUCAAAACAUGGAAACAAAUUACUCAGAAUACAAAUGAAAAGGCCUGCAAAUAUAGUAUUUAGAACUAUGCUACACCUAAUCUCACGCGAUCCAUUUGUUCCCCCCAAUAUCUCACUUUUCCCUAUAUAUAUAUAUAUUUAUAAUUAUUCAAAUUAUAACCUUCCUCCAACAAAUCUCAUGGACCUGGAGAACCAAAAAAAUUCUUUAAAAAAAAGAAUAAUAUAGCAAGAGGUAAAUAAAUUAAAAAAAGUUCUUCAUGGCUUGUGUCUCUAUUGUGAAUUUGUUCCUCUAUGCACAUGAACUUAAUCCUCUUGCUUCAGUUCCUUUCAUUAUUCUCAUCCUCUUGCAUGAAGAGAUAAACAUCCUGUAAAAAUCAUAAAAAGGAAUAAUUGUUACCCCAUUAUAAUCAUGCAAAUAUAAUGGCACACAACAUACAAAUUAAUUCAGGUGCUUAAUUAUUGGGUGCAAUUUUAUGUAUAGAAAAAAUUCUGCGUGUAAUUAUUAUUAUGAUUCUCUGUAGCAGAACGAAUCUUUGACGUCUAUACUAGACAGCCCAGAUGCAUCCUACUACUGUUGAGUCGCAAGAUCAUUCCGUGUACAGAAUUUUUCAGCGCACGGGACUGUAGAGAAUCCACAGUCCCAAUAUAUAUAUAGGGGUGUUUUUUUCAAUUGAGACAAUAUGGAUACUUACUCCCACGGGACAUCUCCAACCAACAUCCAAUCCCCAUCUUUAUCUUCAUAUGUGAUGGCAUACUCAUACUCAUCACUCCCUUCCAUUCCCACUGAAAAAAAUAAAAUAAAAACAAGAAAUAACAAAACAAUCAAAUUAUUGCAAACAAUUCCAUAUUAAGAAUAGCUCCCAACAUAUUAAUUUUAUGUGAUCUUACCUGAGGAAAAGCAUUUGAACAUGGCUUGUAAUGCCCCUCUAAGCUCUUCAUAACCCUUGUACACCUUGAGAUCCAGUUUCCUCAGAUAGGGAGCUCCAUCCAUGCUCACCUUCACAUAUUUCGCGGCGUUUUCUUCCGCGUCGUCGCUCUUCCUCCCCCGAAAGCUGUUCAUUCGAUACGCCCGCACCGGUGGCCAUCCGACUACUUGCGCCCUAUUCGCCAUAUUUAUGUACAUAAAUCAGGAUCGAUCACAACUUACACUCUUGCAAACAUAUAUGAAUAUCAUGCUCGGUAUAUUUUUUUGAUUUACUCAAGAAAUUGGUAUAUUUAGAUUUGGAUUUGAAUGGAACAGCAUAUACGACAUAUAAGUUAUUUUUUCAUAGUAAGAUAAAACAUCCUACAGGUUGAUAUAUACUGUUCUGCCAAAUCAUGGACAACCAGACCAUAUAAAAAGUUUUUUAAAAAAAAUCAAACUUAAUACUCACAAUCAUACUAAAAAAUUCUUGUAGCGAAUGACUUGUUCUUGGAUAAUUUACUCAAACAUCCAAACGGGACCUUUGUGUCUUUUUAAGUAGAUUUUCAAUUCACAAACAAUCGAAGUCUCCAAGCAAGAACAACACAUAUCAACUUACUUAGGCGGAGGAGCCAAAAUCUUGCGCUCCAUCUCCUCGGUUUCAUCCAUCCUCGAUCGACAAGACUCGUCGUCGGAGUCGGGUAUCGGUCGCUUGUUGCAUUUCGUAGCCAUCGUCGUCGGUUUCUCCGGCAUGUCACUGCCCGGAGGCCGUAGGGUUAGCUCGGUCGCCUUGAGAUUCUCGAUAUCGUUGUUCCCGUGGCUCGCCAUAAAUCUUUCCAAUAUCAACCAAUCGAUCUCGGCGCAAUUCGAAUUCGAGUUUUUCGCUACACAACUUCUUGAUGCAAAUUAACUCAACCAAGAAAGAUUAUGAUGAUGAUGAUACAUGAAGUAAUCAAUGGAGGAGAUGUUAAUUAUAUGUAUAUAUAUAUAAACUUUAUCAGAGAAGAGUAGUACUACAGGGUGGAAUAUAUUAACAUAUUAUUAAUUUUGUUAAGUUAUUAAAUUUCAUAACAUGAAUGCAUAUGAAGGUGUUAUUUGGUUGAGACAUGGACACGGAGGCAUGUUGGAGGGCGAGGGGACACGAUCCAAGAAAAUGCCGGUCCAGACCGGAGACAAGAUGCGGACCGGGCCAGGCCGCCGGUUUGGACUGUCGGCUCGGACCGGGACAGCUUGGAUUCCCUAGAUUCGGUUCAGACCAUUAAACUAUUCCCACACACCCGGUGCGCCGUGCACCGCACUUUAUAUUCCAUAAUUAGUAUUUUUAAAUUAAUUCAAAAUUUAUAAAAAGACUUAUUUUCUAAUAAGUGUCGUGUAGUUUUAAAGCCUAUUGUUUUUGUACGAGACGUGCUCGAUUCGGUGUUUAGAGGCUUAAAUCUCUACUUGACUCGAAAAUACUUACGGUGGAGAUUUUCUACAACACAGUAAAAAAAGUCAUCAGUUUUAAUUUUAAAGAUAAAAUUUCAUACAUCUAUGUGCUUGUAUAUUAUUUUUGUUUCUACAUCCGUUCCGACAUUAUUAUUUCGUACUAGUCCUAUUUUCGUUGCUUGGUAUUAUAUCUAUUCAGCUAAAAUUUAAAUAAUUUUCUAUGCAUAGUAUAAACUUAAUUAUAAACUUGAACUUUCAAGAAGUAACUGGUUAAAUAAGCUCAGUAUCUUAAAUAAUCAAGUUAUUUUACCAAAUCAAUACAAAAUCUGAAUGAGUCGAGCUGUUGUGUUUUGAUCAUAGAAAAUAAGUAUUUGAAAUUUUAUAAUUUUUAAUAUAUUAGAACUUUUGAAUGCCAUAAAUAAGAAGAAACGUAUAAAAUAAUAAUUUUUAGAUCACUAUAAUAUUUUAUUUUGUUUAGAAAUGCAGCAGUGUACGGUGCACCGGGUUUAUGCGAUAUUUUUUUUGGUAUUUGGACCGGGUCGUGCGGAUCCGUGGACCCGAGUGUCGCCCAUGUGGGUGGAAACAGGUUCUUUGGGCGGCUUACGUUUCAAAGUGAGAGGUGGGAAACUCAAAGACAUGUGGCCCAUGAUUUACUCAUGUGUUCAUGUUCUCCAUCAAUUUAGAAUUGGUUUUUAUUUUAUUUUUUAUUUUUUAUUUUGAGGUUAUAUUAGAUCCUAACCGUUCCCCAUUUUAUUUACGUUGAUAUCUAACUUUCUAAUUUGCUAGAGUUAUAAUUAUGAUCUGUCUAAAUUUCUAUUACUUUUAAAGCCCUGAUAUUAUCAUAUAAGAUCACAUUAAUGGUUCGAUAACUCUCAAUCAAUUAUGGCACUAAUUUUUUCAAAAUUUUCAAAGAGCUUAGUAACAUGUUUUGCUCCAUAUUAAGACACCAGAUGCUCUGAGGCGAUCGAUCGUAGGUAUGGAAUAUAAUUUUAAGGAUGAUGAGAUUAGGAGAAGAGGUUUGAGUAUCAAAGUGAAAAUCUGAAUAAAAGUUAGGGACCAAUGAUGUAACCAAUCCUAAAGCCUAAAGGCCAAAAAAAAAAAGAUUGGCACCAAAAUGAAAAAAAUUAGGAAAAAGAUUGAGGACCAGUAGUGCAAUUAACCUUUUUUUUUCCAGGAUUUUGGAUAUGAGAGAUGAUUCCAUCUGAUUAUUCUUGUUAGAUUAUCAAUUACAUUUGUUUGUAAUGUUUAAAAGGAGAAAAUAAUUAAAUUUUGCUACUUUUCAAUGUCUCUCCUCAACAUAUAUAUAAAUGUUUCCCCUUUCUCCAUCGAAUUUUCUUCAGCCAUUUUGCAUAAAAUUUUGUGGCUUUUUAAGGUUCGGAAAAUAUGAGUAGAGAUAGAAUCUUAAAUAAUUAAAGUUUUUAGACAAUCAAAUUUUAUAAUUUUUUUAUACUAUUUUUUUAAUAUUUAGUUCUUAAACAAAAAAUAAAAAAAUUUUCAACCUUUUAGAGUAACUGGAGAAAUUAAUGCUUAGACCUUGCAAUUGCAUUUCAUCCCUUCAAACAGGCAAAAUAUUAAAUAUGUGAUUAAACCCAAACGAAUUUUGUGGAACAACCAGGAAUUAAAUUAAUUUGUCACUCUAUUAGACUAUAAUUAAAAAAAGGGAAAACUUCAAAACCCCCCCCCUGUGGUUUCGUGCAUUCUCACUUUGCUACCCUGUGGUUUAAAACGUAUCAAUUUGCCCCCCUGUGGUUUCGUUUUUAUCUUUUUGUUAUCAAUUUUAUUAUUAUUAUUUUUUAAAAUCAGUGACAAAAUUAAAAUUAAAGGAUACUAAAGUGACUAUUCGAUAAAUAUAGAUGGUUAUCUGAAAUUUUUUUGUAUAUAAUUUAACGAAAUAUUAACGAAAAAGCUUCCGAAAAGAUAAAAAUGAAACCACAGGGGGGUAAAUUGAUACGUUUUAAACCACAGGGUAGCAAAGUGAGAAUGCACGAAACCACAGGGGGGGUUUUUGAAGUUUUCCCUUAAAAAAAUAUCUUAAAAGCUUAAUAUAUUUAGCAUUAGUUAACAAAUAAUAUCAUCAGAGAGAUGUUACAGACACAACAGAUUAUGAUAAUUCAAAACCUCAACUUCUCAGGACCCUUAUCCUUUUAGCUUGAGCCCCUUUCAUCUGAUGCCAACAAAUAAAAGCUUGAAAUAGACAAAUGCCAAGAUUACCUUUUUCAUUGAUCCAUAAGUUUGGGUGAUUGUAUAUCAGAUACCAAACCUCUACAUCAGAUACCAAACCAAUGGUACAAAACUGCGCACACAAUAGGGCGGACAUACGAUAAGAAGAAACCGACCAAGAUUAUAAUGAGAUUCAGUUGAUGAAAUUGAAAAAACACGAUGGAUAAUUCGAAUACAAGAAUAUGAUAUACAUGGUUUGUGCAGAACAGUUUAAACCAACAACAAUCUGUGUCGAUAUGGUUCGCAUGGCACUCAAAGGGUCAUGAAGCAUAACUAUACAGAUCGAGGAGUACAAACUUCUUAUACAACAUGAUAGAGAAAUGUAUUACGAUACAAUUACUGGAAUGAUUCAUUCAAUAGAGAUCUAGUGGCAGGUCUAAAGAUAAUGUACACACAUACAAAUUCUAUUUACUUGCACCUCUUUCGUUAGGACCUGAAGGAACCACACCUGGAGAGUCGUGGUUAUUACUGCACUCUGCUCCCUGUGUCUUCGAAAUGAACAGAAAUCAUAUCGUAAGAAAUUGGUAAAAGUCUGCUGACUUAAAAAUGUAAACAUAACUAGGGUUGGUUUAGUCUAGCUUCUAAAAUAGCUUCCCAGCUACGAAAAGCAGCACCCGAACAUUUGGCAAAUGAAAAAUGUGACUACUAGGAAGAACCCCACCCUAUAGUGGAUGGAGUGUAUAUCAUAGAUAUACACUCCAUUUGAGGUGUAUACUUAUAGUUUCGAUUAUCUUUCAUUGUGGAGGAAGUGAAAAUAAGCUUCUGCACCAAAGUAGAAGCAUCAAUUUAAGUGUGUUUGUUUCUGCCGUAGCUGAAAAACCGUUAUAGUGAGUUUAAUAAGAUGUUUCCAGUGGUUCUCCAAACAGCUCAACUCAAAUAAUACUCCAAUGUAAGAACCAAUUGGCCCAAACAGACCCACAGUACUUAGCCUAACAAAAUAGAAUUUCAAGCUCUGAAAUUUACAGAAAUGAAGAAAUAUGUUAGAGAAUUAAGUAUGCCAACCUGGGUAUUCGAAGUCUGCCCAUGAGCUCGAGCAGGCCUCAUGUUCAAGUCGAUCAUUUUGGAAUCAUUUCUUGCAUGAUCAUUACUACUGCCAUCCAAGCCAGGAUCAGUAGACAUCUUGUGAUUCAUCAUUGACUCUCUUAUUAUUGUACUGGGCACCUGGUUGUGUUCUCUCCUGUUCUCAAUUUGGUCUUUUGGUUGCAUUGAUUGAUCUUCAAUACGUCCUGCUUUAUCUCCUGGAAACUAUAAAGAAUAAAAGGGCAACUUUAAGAUUUAAUUGCAUUGAAGUUUUGUUUAAAUAACUAAUGCGGUAAAACAAGAAUAGAAGUUUUACCUCAACUCUUUGCCUCAAAAGGAGGUAUCUUCCAUGGGUUCUUUUCCCCCCAACAUGGACAAUCAUAUCGCACUGAAGGCAAAGUGAAGUACCAUCUAUCUCACAAUAAAAGAAAGCUGUAUACGCAUACAAAGUAAAAAGAUUUAGGUACCAGGAAACACCAAUAUUAGGAUAAGUAGCAAGAGGGACAUCACCUACCAGGUGCAUUUUCACAUAUGUCACAGCGAGGAACUUCAUUGGGAUCGGCAAGUCCUACUCGUACAUGUCGACUAGCAAGCUUGUUACACAUGUGCACCUAUAUCACCAAGAGAAAGAAAUCAUCGCAAAGUCAAUGGGAUUAUCAUGUUAACAGUUAACUAUGGCCAAGAAAUAUUGUUAUCUCACCAUUGUGAGUCUAGCCCACUACCAUUAGUAACUGAAUAGGCUCGACAAUGUUGCAGAAAAAUUUUAAACCCAGUUUACCACUGCUAUCUUCCUAGUUCUUAUGAAAUGCCAACUAAUCUCCCAUUAUCUUCUGAUAAGGAACUUAUAGAGUGUCACAAUCAUCACGCAACCUGUGCAAACCUAUAGACUGAAUAUAACACAGUAAAAAUGUACCAAGGCACCAAGAGAAAACAGUGAUUUGUACAUGCAAUAUCAAUGAUAUGAAUAUCAUACAAUGAUUACAUGUAAUACAUUAGUAUCAAACAGAAGGUGUUUCGCUUAUUCCCGAAGUGAUCAUAAGUCCAAAACAAUUAUAUAUAAGCAUGCAGAGAGAGAAAAGAUGCUCCAUUAAUAUGCACCCGCUAGUGCAGCCUUCCUCUCCAGUCAGUUCCUCUUCUAUAGUUCUAUAGAACCGUUUUCUUCCAAUCUCAAAAUCUCCAUAUUUUCAUUUCAAAAAUUUCAUAACCUGCUAUUUUUUUAUUGAUAAAUAUUUAGCUUGUCAUCAUUAUAGAAUACUGAAGUCACCUCUAACUUCUCCUUGCUCAUUUAUAAUACCUAUCACAAUGCAUUAUCUUCUUUUUCCUUACUUAUGUUUCUAUUAGUUUCCGACGUGUUAAGAAAGUUUCAUCAAAGUGCAGAUGAAAUUAAAUCCUUUGGUCAAGGAUUUUCAAGUGCAGUUUCGCUGUGAAGAUUCGAAAUCUGAAGCCAAGUUGAUCAAGUUAAAGGAAUCAUAACCCACUCACAUGAGCUCGAACAGACAUACGCACAUUAAAUUCAUUUUUAGAAUAGGGAAACUUUUCUGGAAAGUUUGAAUCACAUUGAGAUCAAAAUGAUCAAGUUAAAAUCAAAUCUAGGUCAGGUUGUAAGUCAUCAAAAAAACUUGAAGAAGAGGGGAGAGCGGUUUGGUUAAUGUGAAAGCACUUUUAGCAACACAACCAGCCUUCAAAACUUGCCGAAGGAAGUCUCUAGAUCAAUCAAGCAUAAGAAAGAUAGUAACUAAAUUAAUUAUUAUGAUAGGACAAGGCGAAUUAACAAUUCUCACGUGCACGCCAAAUUCACGACAACACCCUGUUGAUGUGAAUCUUAAUCACUCUCUAGAACUGCAGUCAAAUCCAUGUUGAUAGAUGGAAUGGUGAAAGGAAUACAUUUGCUUAGAUCACACUCAUGGGACUGUAAUGCAAGCUAAUAGACCUUUUAGAGGUUAGGUCUCUUCCAAUAUGAAUUUCUAGAGUAUACACACAAGGGUGAGAUCAGGUAAGCUCAAGAUACAUGCUUAAUAUCCAGGUACCCUAAUUAUAGAUGCAGACAGGAGAAGCUUUGUUGGCCUGGAACCGAAGGGACUACAAGUUGAACUGCUUAACAAUCUGUGCUCAAGAGCUUCAAUUGAUUAGUUCAAUAUGUGGGCUUAACCAGAACACUCUAAAACCUCAACAUGACUGAAUGUGCAGUCAGAUAUACAGCUCACUGCUACGAGAAUUCAUGGAUGGUUCAAGAUUUGGAGCAGAACAGCAUCACUGUGUUGCUUGCACAGAACAUAUGUGUCAACCAUGAUUUGUUCGAAUUUUCUAUGCAAAACUUCAUGAUAUAAAUAAACUCCUAUGGAACGCUAGUUAUUGCAACCAAUGUACAUUACAACCUCUAUGAUUGCUCAAAUUCUCCCAAGUCACCUUAAAUGUCCAUGGUAUGGACUACUUUAGCAGUCCAAAUGACAAACCAAAUCAUCAAGAUCACAAGAACUAUGAAUAGCAAAACUUUUAACUACAUUACCCACUUCAAAUCCCGACUUCCUCAUCCAGGCUAUAUAACACUCAACUUAGUUGGAUGCUCUAAUUUGUGUCCUAUUUCUCACACCAAGACAUCUGAUAAAGAAUGUGAUCCUAAGUAUUAUAUAACCCCUUUGCCCAGAAACCAACAAUGAUUUAACCUAUCAUAUGGAGUAGGACGACUGCUGAGUAUCAACACAGAGAGUCACAAACAAAUAUAUGCUUCCUUUCCUUGUCUUGCUUACUCGGAUAUGUCAGCAUUUCAGUAUCACUGUUCUUGACGCCGGAAACCUCAAACAAUUCUGCACAAACUCAAUACUGCAUCGAUAUUAAAAAGUCAACUCCUAUGUCAACGUGUAGAAUGAGAUGUGCGGGAAGAGAAGGACGAGGAGGAAGAAGAGUAGAAAAGGAAGAAGAAAAAGAAAGACGUGCUGAGAGUGAAGGAACUCGGCCUAGCAACCACCAAAGUACAUCUUCACGCUAUAGGAUAGUUGAUGUCAUUCCAUAAAAGAGAUACUCAUCUCUUUAAGGAUCAAAUUUCAAACUAUACCUAUCGAUGGGAAACUUAUACUUCUAUCAUGCCUUGUUACUUCCGUCAUAUAUCUGCUCAAGUACCCCUUCUAUUUACAUGCUUUGCUUAUGCAACAUUACUUUGCUUAUUCCUUGUGUAUCAAUAGCGAGAAGAGCACCAACAGCAAUAUAGCACUUGGAAAUGGGACAUACAACUUAGAGGCAGUAAAAUGAGAUGACCGACGAGAAUGGCAGAAUGAUUACAUUGAAGAUCCCUUUAUACAAAAUAUUAUGGAAAAGGAUAGCAUAGCUCUGCCUUUCAAUUUAUCUGAUAUAAACCAUUAGAUGGUUCUUCCGAUACAAAUUUUAGGUCUAUUACUUAUUAUAUUAGAGUUGUAGUUGCAUAAGUUAUAUGAAAUAUACUAAUCAGGUCCGUAAAAAUAAAUGAUGCAUUCAUAUUUUCAAAUUUAAGGGUUAUUAAACGACUCUAGUCUACUAAAAUGAAUUAAAGCUUAGAUAGCAAAAUCAAAAUUUUUAAAAGUUACAUAGUUGGAUAAAAAUGGGCCAUAGUUCACAUAAGUCCCAUACAAUUUUACUUUUUUUUUCGGGUAAAUUGCACGUUUGGUCCUCAAACUAUGAGGAUGGUGACAUUUUUGUCAUCAAACUUCAAUCUAUUGUAAUUUUUGGCUCGAACUUUUAAAAUUGUUGCAAUCAAGUCCUAUAACCUAAUUUAAUUAACUAAACAUUGAUAAAUCACUAAUGUAGAGGUGAUAUAAUAGUGUUGUGAUUGAUGAUGAACCAAUAAUUAAGAUAUCACAUCACUUUUAUAUCAAUGAUGCAUUAAAAUUUAGUCAACUAAAUUAGAUUGUGGAACUUGAUUGUAGUAAUUCUAAAAGUUCGAGCCAGAAGUUAUAAAAAAUUAAAAUUUGAGUACUAAAACAUCACUUGCCUCAUUGUUUGAGGACCAAACAAGCAAUUUUACCCUCUUUUUCCUACCAAUUCAGUCUUGUCAAGACCACAAAGCAACUUCUCAUCGCGAAAAAUGAUCGACCACAAGACAUGACAGCGAAAUUCCCACUUGCCAUGGAUGACAACCUUCUGUUUUCUUGAAUCAACCAUCUACCACAAGCUUUAGCUAACCCUUGUAGACUCUAACAGUUCAAAUAGAGCUUCGGCACACAAACAAACAGAGUCAAUCAGUGAAUCGCCAUACUACGUCGCGAGGCGCAUUCAUUGUUAUCAAAAGCCCUAAGAAUUGCCCCAUCUAAAUGCAUCAUCUAGUUCUACACUUCGCAUCGAAAUUGCCUAGAGAGAGAGAACGGACCUUCUCGUCGCAGGGCCGGCACAGCGCAGCCUCGUCGGCGGCGCAGAAGAGCACCGCCGCCGCGCUCUCGCACACAUCGCAGAUCGUCCGCAUCGCCGCUCCCCUCCACCUCCUCCCUCUCUCUCUCUCUCAUCGCCCACCUCCCACUCCCAUCUCCUCCUCCUCCUCCACCUCCACCCUUUUCCCCCUCCACUAAACGCAGCGAAACGGGAAACGCGGCGGCGGCGGCGGCGGCGGCGGCGGCCGAGGAGAAGGCGUUUUAUAGUAGGGUUUUUUUUUCUUUUUUCUAUUUUUUUUUUUGUGUGGUGUGUGUGGUGAGUUUGGGUUUGGGGCCCGGUGGAGUGGAAAUUAAGUGGGGCAAUAUUCAAGAAGAGUCGGAGAAGAGUACGGAUGGCGCGAGAUGAGAGGCUGUAGAAGAGUGGGAGGGGAGGAGGAGGAGACUCCGCGAGGGUUUGGAUUUUGGGGAUUUUGGGGGCGCGUGAGUGAGAGAGAGAGAGAGAGAGAGUGAGAAAAGUGGGGCGAGCGAUCUCAGCCACAAGUAGAGGGGGAGAGAGAAAGAGAGAGAGAGAGAGAGAGAGAGAGAGAGGACAACAUACUUUCCCAUGGACUCGGGUCUGCGGAGAAUCCGCCCCAAGUAGGACGGGAAUUAAAAGAAUUUUGUUUGGCAGAAAUGCUGCCUGAAAAAAAAAAAAAAAAAAAAAAAAAUAAAAUAAAAUAAAAUAAAAUACAGAAAACCCCUUAUAAAUACUAGCUUUUUUACUUUUCUUCUCUAGUUUUUAAAAAUCUAUAUUUUAUCAUUUUAAAAUUUUAAAAAUAUUUUUAGGAUGAUACGGUAUUAAUGGAGAGGGCAAAAUGACCAAAUUACUCUUAUUUUUAUAAGAAAAAAAUAUUCUUUAAUAUAUUUAUAUCAUUUUGAAAGAAAUUUUCGGUAUAAAAUACAAAAAAUGGACGGAAUAGUGAUGAAAUCCUGGCGGAGGGCUAUAUGCAAUAAUUUGAAAUUUUAAGAUAGCAAAAUAUAGAUUUUUAAAAGUUAAGGAGGAAAAAUAAAAAAGCGGGUAUUUACAGGAGAGAUUUCUGUAAUUUAGCUUAAAAAUUUAUAUUUGCUUAUACUUUAGUAGAGUCCGGCUAUGGUGCUUUUAUAAGCACCAAGUAAUUGAUAUUUAUAAAUUUUUAUCAUUAGAUCUUUCUUUUUUUUUUAUCGAUUUUGUUUUUUAGAUCAUACCAUUCCACUAACCACACACUAAACCUUAAGAAAUCACUAUCAUUCUAACCAUACAAGUUUCAUCUAAAAGGCCAAAAAUUUUGGUACUUUUCAAAGCACAGGAGUUCAAUUCUAUUUUGGUAUUCUAUUUUGUACGACUAUUUACCAUUUUUGGAUAAUGAAAAUUUACUUCUUCAAAAAAAAAAGGGUCAAAAUAAAAAAUAUUGCUUUCUACUAUAACAAAAUAAUAUAAUAUAUUAUUACAUAUUAUUAAUUUAUUUAUAAAUAUAAAAACCUAAUUUAAAUAUUUUAAUAUAUUUUAAAUUUAAUUAAAAAUUUUAAAUGUAUUUAGAUUUUUAUAUAAUAUAGAACUAGGCUAGAAUAAUAUUAAUAGCAUCAAGUCAUUAAUGUUAUUAGGUUUUCGGCCCUUGGGGCGCGUUUGGUUCGCACUAUGAAAGAUUACUAGGAGUAAAUAGAUAUCCGAGAAUCUUAUUCUUAUUCAUCCUAUUACUAAGAAUGUAGCAUUUCGGUGUUUGGUUCGUACAGCCAUGUUAUCUAAGAUUAUGAAAAAUAUACAAUUAAUUUAUUUAUUUUUUUAAUUAAUUUUAAAUAAUACUAUUAAAAAUUUCAAAAUCUUUUUAGAAAAGAGAGAGAGAAUAUAUGUUAGAAAGAGAGAGCAUAAUUAAAGAAAUAGGAAGAGAAAUAGAGUCGAGGUUAGAGAGAAUGAGAGAGUUGAGAUUUUAGAAAAAGAGGGGGAGAAAUAGCUUAGUUUAGAGAGAGAAAAAGAGUUGAAGUUUAGAAAGAAAAAGAUAAGUUUAGAAAAAGAUAUGAGGUUAGAGUGUAAAUAAAAAUAAUACCAACUAGCCGGCGGGUGGAAAGAAAGAAAUAAAUUAGACAUAUUAUAUUUACCCCAAUCCAUUAAUAUAAGGAUACCCACUCUCCCUCAAAGGAAUGAGAUUAGUACUUUAGGAUGAAUCUCAUUCCCAAGUAAAUCCAGUAUUAUCAACUAGAUUUUUUAUAUUUUUUUUUAUUCCUAUUGGAUUACUAUAAAUCUUAAAAAGAUAGCACGAACCAAACUCAUCCUUAGAUUAAGGAAUGUAUGGUUAGAAUGAUAACGGUCUCCUAAGUUAGUGUUUAGUUGAGGGAUAAAGUAGGAAUAGACCACUUUGUCCCUCUAAUUCAUCCAAACACUAGAGAAAGGAAUGGAUUUAUUUAAUCUCUCUCUUAACAAGUUAUUCUAGAAUAACCUAUUAAGAGGGAAAAUUGUUAUUCUACUCUUUUGGUGGAAUAACAAUUUCUUUUCUUUAUACCUCUACUAAUUUAAUAAUAAUAUAUUAUUAAUUAAUAUCUUAUAUAUUGUUUUAUUAAUUAAAUAGCUAAAUUAAUAAUUAACUAAUUUAAUAAUAAAAUAUUAGUUAAAUUAAUAAUUAUUUAAUGUGUUUAUUUAAUAACUAAUAUCUAUAUUGACUAAUCAAUUAAUAUUUUGACCAAUAUAACUAAUUAAAUAGAAGUGCUUAAUUAAUUUUUUUAUUUUAUUAAUAAAUUAAUUUAUUAGCUUAAUUUGUUAACUUAUCAAAUUAUUUAUAGUUAAUUAAUUUAUUAACUAACCGUACUCAUGAUUAAUUAAUUAAUAAUUAAUUAAUGUCCUAAUUAAUUUAUUAAUUAAUAUUUUAUGAGUAUCUAAUAAUAUUCAUGAUAAAUUUAUUAAUUAAUUUAUUAAAUAUCAUUUACUUAAAAUUUUGUUGUUAAUUAAUUAUAUACAAUAUUAUUAUUUAACUACUAUAAUUACUCUUAUUCUUAUUAUUCCUAUCUAACUACCAAAACACUAUUUUUCUUAUUUUAAAAAGUAACUCAUUUUUUAUUCAAACAUAAAAUUGAUCAUGUUUUCGUUUAUCUCCGAAGUUGUAUCUAUUCCAGGAAUAACCAAAAAUAAUUGUUUUCGAAUCAGACGAUACCCUAGAAUUUAGUAGAUAGCUGAUAGAGUAAUAUGAUCUAAGGGGUGAAAAUGAUCAAAGAGAUAAAUUUAACAGCAGAAAACUUGGUGGCACCAAGUGCUCGGGGCUAUUGAUAGUAUUGUAGUUAGACUCAUAUAUUAGUUAAAUAAUAUUUGAUUGUUAUAUAUUUUUAGUGACUUGAAAAAUUAUAUUCAAUACUUUGACAUUUACAAAAAAAUUAGCUUAAUAAUUAGUUUAUUUUUAAAAAAAUUUCAGGGUGUCUGUGGUAAUGAGGACUGGGAAGUGCCUCAUCCCUGCUAUGCUCCAUUGUCAUCCCUAGGUUGGAAUAGUUUGAUAUAUCAUAUGAUUUAGGUAAAAAUGUAUAUAACAUAUCAGAUAUAUAUAUAUGGAUCAUUUUGAGACAACUAUUCAGUCUUUCAAAUUUUUAUUUUUUUUAAUAUUUGAUUUAAGUUAGGCAACAUGUGACGAGACAAAAAUUCAAUAUUUCAAUAUUUUAUUUUUUUUAAAAUAUUUGAUUUAAGUUAGGCAACGUGUGUGACAUUCCAACUUUCCACUGGGUCACCCAUCCUAGAACUACUUCCGUCCUAACAUGCUUAACUUUCUUAAGUUCUUGGGCUUUGCCACCACCCAAAAUGAUUAAGUCGGAUUAAGAGUUUUAGCCUUAUUAUAUUUUAUAUAUAGGAUUAUUCGGGAUCUCACAUUUUUCUGCUUUUAAGCAUUAACGUUCUUGUCAGGCUCAGACUUACAAGUAUCAAGCGAUGUGAGACUCGUCUUGCUAGUCUUGUCAUUCCGACUCUGAAACAAUCAAAAGUCAUCUCACACUUUCGGCUGGUAAUUGGCUCUUAUACCAACUGUGACGUCCCAACUUUUCAGGAGUUAUCCAUCCAAGGACUACUCCCGUCCUAGCAUGUUUAACUUUUUUAACCUCUUGGGUCUAGCCACAGCCCAAAAUACUUAAGUCGGACUAAGAGUUUUAGCUAUAUUAUAUCUUAUAUAUAGAACUAUUCGGAGUCUCACACAACGACACAUUGACUUUAAAGUUUCAGUUAAUUAUUUUAAAUAAUAAAUUUACAGUUGCAAAAAUUACAUAAAGUAUACUUAUUAAAUUUAUAAAAUAAAUAACAUAAUUAAAUUUUGAAGCCAUAGUGCAGUUAAAGGUUUUGGCAGUUGACGAAGUCUUCGUUUGGGAUUGCGGGAAGAUUGCGUUACGUGCCGUGAGAAAGUACGUAGGAAAAAUAUCCUGUUUAUUUUCGUACGUAAUAUUGUCUUCCGCAUAUCGCGAUGAGUCGGUUACGAUGUAUUUUCUGCGGUCCCACCGGAGAACGCAAAAGCAUAUCCAUAUUUGCUUUUUCCUCAACUCCAUUUUUUCUAAUAGCGUUAGAUAGACUUCAAUACCAAACUAAGCCUAAAAAUGGUUCAUAAUUUAGAUAACUUAUGUGCGUUCUAACAUGUAAUUUAUUUUGUAUUCAAAUUUAAUAUUCUAUUUUAAUUUGAAAAUUGGUAGUUGACUAAAAAUGGUUCAUAAUUUAGAUAACUUAUGUGCGUUCUUAUGUGUAAUUUAUUUGGUAUUCAAAUUUAAUAUUCUAUUUUAAUUUGAAAAUUUUCUAUCUGAAUUUUAAUACCGUAUCAGAUGAUAGAUUUAAAGAUAGUCCAAAUUUUUGUUUUUCCGAAAAAAGAAAGAGCUAGCUUACACUCAAGGUGUUGGUGAACUUUGGCUAUAAUUUUUACUAUUAUUUAUUUUAGUUUAAAAUGUAAAGAGACUUUCUGAACUUUGGCUACUUUUAUAAAUAGAUGAGUGAACUUUUAAUUUAAUAAUUAUAUUAUCUAAACUUUAUGAAAUAAUUUAAUAGACUCCUCUCUUUAAUUAUCAAUUAAAAUUAUUAAUCACACAAUCAUUUUGAUAGUUUGUAUUGCUUAUAGUUUUAUAAAGCUUUAAAAUACAAACAAAUUUAUUUCUUAUAUUCUAAUACGUAAAAGAAGCAAUAAAAUAUGAAGUUUAAUUCAACUCAUCCUUCGCUCAUCAUAUUUAGUUAACAACAUUGAAAGCGAAAAAUAUGCAUAUUUAUAUUUUGAAGCAUUAAAAAACUAUAUAUAUGAAAUUCGAUUAAAAAGGGAGGUGAUUCAUUUUUAGUUNAAGUGAGAGAGAGUAUAAGUUAGAGAGAGAGAGAGCAUAAUUAAAAAAAUAGAAAGAAAAAUAUAGUCGAAAUUAGAGGGAGUGAGAGAGUUGAAAUUUUAGAAAGAGAGAGAGAGAGAAAGCUUAGUUUAGAGAGAGAAAAAAAAGUUAAAUUUUAGAGAGAAAAAUAAGUUUAGAGAGAGAUAUAAUGUUAGAGUGUAAAGAAAAAUAAUAUCAAUUAGCCGGCGGGUAGGAAGAAAGAAAGAGAUUAGACAUAUUAUGAUUAUUUAAAUCCAUUAAUAUGAGGAUACCCACCCUCCCUCAAGGGAAUGAGAUUAGUAUUUUAAGGUGAAUCUUAUUCCCAAGUGAAUCAAAUAUUACCAACUGGAUUACUUAGUGCGUUUAGCCAAACACCGUCAUAUUUUUUUAUUCCUAUUGGAUUACUAGAAAUCUUUAAAAGAUAGCGCGAACCAAACGCACCCUUAUAUUAAUGUUUUACCUACCAUAGCUUUAGUCAUGUUAUUUUAUACUUAUUAUUGUUUUGAAAUUGCUAUGUAUUUAUUUGCCUCAUGUGAAUGGUAAGUCAAAUAUAAAUUUAUAAUUAUUAAUCAUGUAUAAAAACUAAAAAUUUUAAGAGAAUUUCAUAUAUCCAUUUGCUGAACAUAAAAUAUAAAACUCUUUUCGCUUCCAACAUCACAACUGUGAGUAAAACUAAGAAUAAAGUUCUGCAACUUUUAAUUGAAAGAUUUUUUCUAAAAAAAAAGAACACACAAAGCAUGCUUUACUUUAUAAUCUCCAAUGGUUUACACAUUCUAAUUUCUAUUUUAUAUCAUGUUUUUUUCAUAAUAGUAACAGUUUAAAUAUUAAAAUAAAAAAUAAAAAAUUAAAAACUAAAAUUUGAAUUUCAAAAUUUUAAAUAUAAAUUGUUUUAAAAAAUUUUAAAUUCAGAUUUAAACUUAAAAUUACAAAUUUUGAUUCAAAUUUUAAUUUUAAAUUUAAAAUUUUGAAGUAAAGGUCAGCAAAAAAAAAAUAGCAAACACCAAAGCCUUAUAAAACUAUUUUAAAAAAUCAAUUUUCUACUUGAGCUUUAAUUAAUUAAUUUUUAAAUAAAAAUUAAUUCUACAAAAUUUAUAUAUAUUUUUUGUUUACGAGUCGGCUUCUGUUUGGCUCGAAAUGAGCUCGAGAUCGAAUCGCUUAUUUAGUAAACGAGCCGUACACGAGUUGAAUUUUUCAGCUCGUUUAAUAAAUGAGCCGAACAUGUACUAGGAUCAGCUCGGUCAUGUUUGACUCGAUUACAGCUCGAAUAUAUAUAUUUUAUAUUUAUAUAAUUUAUUUACUUUAUAUUUAUAUAUAAAAAUAAAUAAUUUUAUAUAUAAUAUAUAUAUUAUUAUUAUUUAAUUUUAGUCCAAAAAAAUAUAAAGCGGAGAUCAAAUAUAAAAUGACUUAUUUAUAUGUAAAUUUUCUACCAUUAAAUCAAAGUUUAAUAGGUAAGAUUUUAUAUAUUUAUUUUUUAUUUAUAUAUAUAAUCUAAUCUAUUUAAUUUAUUUUUUUGUUGGUCAGCUCGUGAGCCUGCUUUUGUUCGACUUGUUUAUUAACAAGCGGAGGAACACGAGGUGAAUUUUUCGGCUCGAUACUUUAAGGACUUAAUUAUAACAAUUAAAAAGUUGUGGACUAGAUUGAAACCCUGGGCCAAAGGUUGAGGAUCUACUAUCUAAGGACUAAAUUGAAACAUUCGUAAAAAGCCAGGACCUCCCAUGUAAUUAACCCCUUAAAUAGCUUCCUUCGGAAUUUCCACGACCCCUGCUUCCGUUCUCUCCGCCCAAAAUCCCCAAACCCUAAUUGUAGGGUUUUACCCCGCGACGCCAUGGACGUGGACAUGGAUACACGGAGAUCCCAAACCCCCGAGGAGACGGCCGACACCUUCGAAGACCUCGCCGGCGCCGACGACGACGACCUCGGCUCCGCCGUCCUCGUCCGCCACCAGAGCUCCCCGCGCGAGGACCACCAGCAUCUCUGCGCCGCCGUGGGCGCCAUGGCCCAAACCCUAAAGGACCAGAGGAUCCCCCUCACCCCCGUCGCCUACUUCGGCGCCACCGCCGCCUCCCUCGACCGCCUCUCCCGCGACCCCUCCGCCGCCGCCGCCUCGGAUCCCGUCACCACCGCCCUCCUCACCUUCCUCUCCUCCGUGCUCCCCAGGGUCUCCGCUGCUGUGUUGAGGAGCAAGGGGCCCUCGGUUGCCGAAUCCGUGGUCCGGAUUUUAGGGUUCCGGUCGCUGCCGGAUGGCGGCGUGAAGAGUGGAUUGAAGUGCAUUGCUCAUUUGAUCGCGUUUGGGGAUAAGUCGAAUUGGUCGAGGUUAUCCCCUUAUUAUGGAGUACUUCUUGGCUUCGUGACGGAUCACCGGCCGAAGGUAAUGCAAUAAUUUAGUUUCUCUCUUACAUUGUAUUUAAUUAGUAUAUACUUUAUCCUCAAGAAAUGUGCUAUAUUGCAUCAGAUUUUUCUACUGUGUACAUCUUUCAAAUGUAGCACACUUGAAAUUCCCUUUACUUUACCCCCUGUUUAGUUGCCUCAAAUCCUAGAAUUCUAAAGAAAUAAAAUUCCCAUUUUGCUAAAUCCAUUGUUUGGUAUCAUAAGUUGAUAGGAAUUCAAUUCAUUCGCAAGGAUUUGGUGGAAUGAUUUGAUGUCUGAUUUGGUGAGAAUUCAUUUACUAUUUGUUAUACUUUAUCGAUAACGCCAAAUACCCUUUUCUUAAAUUAGUUAUGAUAUCCUUCUUACUGAAUAACUGAGGAUAAAAUGCGAAAUGUAAUUACGCUGAAAUAAUCUCUCAUUCUUUAUCGAACGAUAAAACUGAAUGGAAUUCGGUUGAACUCCAUUUUAGUUCAAACAAAAAAUUUCAUUUCUAUGUAUAUUCAGUUGAAUUCUUCUCAAAUGAAUUCCAUUGAAUUCUAUUUAGAUUUGAUGCCAAAUGAACCGUUAAUAUUGCAACCUUCCGUAAUGGGAAGGGAAUUUAAGAGAUUCAAGUCUAUUUGAGUUUCUGUAUUGUUUAGCCUUUGACGAUUUAUGACAUGGAUAUGCCGUUUAGCCAUUGUUACUUGAUUAGAGCUUGAGACAUGAGAGUUCCUUGCUGAUGGGACGUUAACGCAUCAAAAAGAUGUAUCUUUCUUUGUUCCUUCCCUUGCACUCUCUCAAAAUUAUGACUUGUCUAAGCUCAAAACUGUGUUUGCGUUUUGUGGCAUGGAUGGUUAAAUGACUACACAUCUAGUAAAAAUACUUUCUUUUCCCAUUUCUUAAUGUUGUAACUUAGAGGUCUUCUUAUUUUUUAGAUAAGAAUUUUGUAGUUUACACUUCAUUUUAGCUGAAUACUGAGAAUCCUUAGAAUAAUAAUCAUUGAAAAAGAGAUAAAUUUGACUUCCUCUUUUGGUAAGCAGAAAUAUAUCAUUCUGAUCAUAAAGCAAAAUCAGUUAAUUUAUGAGUUCAUGCAUAGGAUAUUAUGCAGUUAUAUGAAAUAUAUAUUUAAGAAUCUAAGGAAUGGUUUGUAGGUGAGAAAGCAGAGUCAUGCAUCUCUGCGGGAUGUUCUUCAGAGUUUCCAAAAGUCAGCAGUUUUGGUACCAGCAAGUGAAGUGAUCACUGAAACUUUUGAGCGAUUUCUUUUACUUGCUGGUGGGUCAAGUUCUUCAAAAACAGCUGCAUCAGAAGAAGGGCCUAGGGGGGCUUUGGAAAUCUUGCAUAUUCUGAAUGCCCUCAAGGAUUGCCUUCCUCUUAUGGCGACAAAAUCAGUCAACAUGAUCUUGGGAUACUUUAAACGGCUGUUGGAGUUGCAUCAGCCCAUUGUGACAAAAAGCAUAUUGGAGAUUUUGCAGUCUCUUUGUAACUAUCCAACAUCAGAGGGUAAUCCUGAAUUGCUGUUAGAUCUAUUAUGCUCUUUGGCAGUAUCUGCCUCUGAGGAAAAUUCGGCAGAUGAGAUGGCAUCAAUAGCACGUUUGUUGCAUGUCGGUAUGAAAAAAGUUUACUACCUGAACAAGCAAAUAUGCACUUUGAAGCUCCCAGUUAUAUUCACCGCUCUUGGAGGUUAGCUUUAAUAAUUAUUUCUGGCUAAUUCCUAAUUUUUAGCCUGUAGUACAUUUAUUUGCUGAUUUGGGCGAUGUAUCUGUUCUUUUCAUCAUUACUUUAGACAUAUUGGCAAGUGGGCAUGAGGAAGCUGUGUUUGCUGCUAUGGAGGCUUUGAAGGGUCUGAUGCAUUCUUGCAUUGACAAAAGCUUGGUUGAGCAUGGAAUUAGCCAAAUCAAGGCUAGACUACAAGGGUUAAGGGCUGCACCCACCGUUAUUGAAAAGAUUUGUGCUAUCCUUGAAAGCUUCCUCGGUUUUCAGUAUAAUGAUGUUUGGGACUUAUCAUUUCAUGUUCUUUCCUCAGGGUUUGAUAUUCUAGGUAAAUUUCAUUUUUGUUGUCUUCUUCCCCUAGCUUUCUGAAAAUUUUCUUGGUAAAUUCAGUUGAACACUCGAAUGGUAAAUUUUGGUUCUUGAAGAUUUUGUCAAUGCAGUAAGUUGUGCAAUGUUCAGCCAUUUGUGUGUAAGUAUGUGCAUUUGCAGUCUCGUGGCAACCAUAAAGGACCUUGAUGCAUUCUUAGGCAGCUUGACAGGCUUAUUUGUACCUAAAUAACCUGCCUGUGGCUUUUUACGCUGUAGCUACGUAAAAUUGGUAAUGGAUUCAAUGUUGAUAACUACUACCUAUAUAUAUAUAUAUAUAUAUAUUGAGUAUGUCUCCCGUGCUUUCGAAAGUACGGAGGCCUUCGUACUUGUAAGUUGUUUUCGAUGAUAGGACAUCCAAUUCGACGAUUGGCUCUAUUAGGCAUAAUCUAUGCUAUUGGAACUAUCAUGAAACCAAAUUUUAUAAUUUUUCGACAUCAUUUACCAAGCGAUCACAGGGUCUCAAAAAUGACUAUUUUAACUGCCGAUGUGGCACGUUUUUAAUUUCAACGGUGUAGAAGUAUCCAAAUUACAUGAAACUUUAAUAGAAAAUUCUACUUAACAACAAGAGCAAGAACAAUACUUCCGAUUUGAAAUUUGAGUCAUUUAUCACUAUUUUUUAUGAGAUUUUUAUUGUCAGCCGUUCAUUUUGAGGCUACUCGUUCACUAGGCAAACGGAGUAAAAAAAUUAUGAAAUUUGGUUUCUAGAUAGUUCUAAUAGUGUAGAUCAUGUUUAACGGAACCGAUUGCCGAAUCGGACGUCCCAUCAUUGAAAACAACUUACAAGCACGGAGGCCUCCGUAUUUUCGAAAGCAUAGGAGCCUAGCUCUAUAUAUAUAUAUAUAUAUAGAGAGAGAGAGAGAGAGAGAGAGAGAGAAUAGGGCUACUGUGCUAUUAGGAGCACGGCAGCCUUUGUGCUCCUAACUUCCUAACCAUCCAUCAAUUUUGAUGGGUUGUUAGGAUGAGAGAGAGAAGAGAAAUUAGGAGGAAACUCAAAGAAGAGAAAUUGAGACACCUAAUUUCUCCUCAAUUUCUCUUUUCUCUCUUAUCCUAACCAUCCAUCAAACUUAAUGGAUGGUUAGGAAGUUAGGAGCAUAAGGGCUACUGUGCUCCUAAUAGCAUAGUAGCCCUGCUCUCUCUCUCUCUCUCUCUCUCUCACUCUCUCUCUCUCUCUCUAUAUAUAUAUAUAUAGAAUUUGGCUGGAAUACUGUUAAUAGCACCAAGUCAUUGAUGCUAUUAGGUUUUCAUGCCUUGGAUGAAAAAAUGUGCAGUUAGAAUGAUAGUGGUUCCUGGUUAGGAUGAUAGUGCUCCCUUAGGGUUGAGUGGGUGGUUGGUUGAAUAGUAUGAUCCAACGGUUAGAAAUGAUGAAAGUGAUAAAUCUAACGGCAGAAAAUUUGGUAGCACCAAACGCUUGGUGCUAUCGAUAGUAUCCCAGCUGAAUUUUAUAUAUAUAUAUAUAUAUAUAUAUAUAUAUUUGGGUGCUUACAUCCUUCUAAAGAUACGUUUUACUAGAAUACUAGAUACUUUUACAAGAUUUUUGUUAUUUGACAUCUCAAUAGCUUAGUGUUAUAUAGUUCCACAUCAAAUAUCUAAUUAUCUGUACUAGUGCAUUGUUUUCUUUAGUCUUUCCAUUGGUUUCUUUUCCAUGUAUGCAUAUUUUCACAUAGUAAAAUACAAGUAUUUUUGAAAUAUGUUACCUUAGCUUACUAUGUGCACUUGGUGCCCACAUGCUGCAACUACCCUUCAGGAUGUUGGUUAAGUAAUCAAUCUGUGUUUGGAAUUUACAAUACUGUGGGAAAUUCCUGUUCCCUCAUGAUGCCUCAACUCUGAAGCACCAAGUGAAUAUUUUGCAUACAUUAUGUCGUCAUACGUUCAGAUAUUCAAUGUGCUUUUAUCUCAUGGCUUGAAUUUUUUCCUUACAAUUGUGCACAUAUUAUGAUAUUACUGAAUUUAUCUAUCCUAUAAUCUUUGAGUUUAAUGAUCUUUCUUUGCUUAGUAUUUCCAUUCCUUGAUAUAUGUCAUUCAAUGUUAAACCUUUAGGAGAAGCUUCAUGCUAUCUAAUGGCCAAUGCACUGAAGAGCCUUGCAGAUAUAGAAAAAUUACCCGAUGAAGAUUUUCCUUACAGAAAGCAGGUUUUGUAUUGUUUGCUAUAUUUGGCCAUGUUAUUAUCUUCAGUUUUACAUUAUGGAAUUAUAGGUCACUGGAUCAUAGUAAAGACUUGUGUAUUUUCAAUCUAUUUAUGCUCUUAAAUACGCAAGGCUUGCUCAAAAUUCAUAAUGAAUUAAGAGUCCUGUUAGAAGUUAUUUGAUCUUUUUCUUCUCGUUUAAUUCAGUUUUCCCUUCUCUUUUUGCAGCUUCAUGAAUGUAUUGGGUCAGCCAUUGGUGCUAUGGGACCUAAGGAAUUUUUAAAUGUUUUACAUGUACAAAAUAUAUCGGACGCCAAUGUAUGGAUUCUACCUUUACUAAAGCAAUAUACUGUUGGUGCCAGUUUAAGCUUUUUCGUGAAAGAGAUUUUAAAAAUGAUUAGCUGCAUUCAGGAGAACAUUCCUAAGGUAUGAAUUAUUUCAUAGGAAAUUCGAGUCAAUUUUAUUUGGCAUGCAUUUUAACUGGAUAGUUUUAAUUGAACAGCUUGUUGAGGAGGAUAAACUCUUCUCAGCUAAGAGGGCAGAAGGUUACAUAUAUUCACUGUGGUCCUUAUUGCCUUCUUUCUGCAACUAUGCUUGUGAUACUGCAAGUAGCUUUGGAGAUCUUCAAAAUGUAUUAUGUGAUACACUCCGUAAUGAGCCCAGCUUGCAUGGGGUAGUGUGCUCCAGUCUUCAGGUGGUUCUCUUCUUUGCUAAUAGUUGAUUUACUUGUAUAUCCUGCAAAUUGUCUAUCUGCCUAUGUAUGUAUGUGAAAAAUUCUGAAUAAUUAUUGAUGCCCAUAAAGUGCUUGAUAUCUUCCAGCCCUAGUACUUUCAAAAUUGUUUACUUUAUGGAACUUUUUCUAAUACAUGACCAACUAAUGCCAUGAAUUGGAAAACUCUGCAACUCAAGACAAGUGCAUUUUUGUAAGAAACUUCACCAUCAAUGGAUAUUAUACAAAUUCAAAUAUUACAGGGCUGCACAUGUAAUUGAUGAUUUUGCAGGAAUAUUUAUGUGAAACCCCUUACCAGUUAUUGUUCAUGUUCUUUAUUAUUGCAUGAAAUGUUAGGAUUUAUCCUUCUCUUCUUGUUUCUAGAUUCUAAUUCAACAGAACAAGGGCAUACUCUCUGAAACAAAGCAAAAGGACACAGAGCCUGAGGAUGAAUUAAGCAAGCAUGUGAGUAGAGCUAAGUCCUACUAUACCAAAGAGUUGGCAGAGGGAAAUUUAAAAGCCAUACGAGCUUCUUCUUCAAAGUUUUUGAAAGUCUUAUACUCUAUAUUCUUGGAAACUUCAAAAGACAAUGGUGGAAGCUUGCAGGUAUCGAGUUUCUUGUUUCCUCAUUAAUGCUAAUUAUUGAAGUUUUCCUAAUUUGUCUGCAUUACUGCUGUAUGCCAUCUAUUUCAUCUUUGCAUGAAGACAUGUUCAGAUGUUUUUUUCUUCGGCCAUCUGUCUAUUUAAUAGAUCAUCGAUUUUGUUAGAGCCAUUUACUUGCCAUCUCUCUCUGUCUCUCUCUCUCCCCUAAUUCCAUUCCAUUUAGUCAUGGCUUCUUUGUGGAAAAGAUGAUGGCUGAUAAGGAGAUUUUUUUUUUUUCCUUAAUAUAUACAUUUGGGUGGUGGUGGGUGCACUAGAGGAGAGUAGAGAUUUUUUAUCUGAAGUUGAUAUUCACCUCAAAACUGAAAAUGCCCUUGGUAGAAUGUUCAUUUUUAUAAGUGGCGAACAAACUUUCUGGAUCUCGUUACUUUAGCCUUGAGAGUCCAAAUUCAUGUAAUUGCUCCAUAAGAGUUCCUCUUGUUGGUGGUACUAGCGACUUCUAACCAGAAUUAUUGUUUAACCAACUUGCCUGGUCGAUGAUGAUCCUUUUGGGAAAUAUUUUAGCAUGAAACUGUUUAUCUUCUUUUCCAGGUCCAGAGAGGCUACUUUUUUUUUCAUAACUAAGAAGAACAAGUGGUAGUAGAAUAUUUUUCUGGCUUGGUCCUUUUGAUCCAGUUGUCCAUUACUCCCAAGUUAAAUUAUUUCUUUUUCCAUACUUUGUCACGAAGCUCCCAGCUGCUAAAUGCUCCUGAAACUGGAAUUCUUUAGAAUCUAUACUUCUUAAAUACUUUAUUCUAGUUAUGAAUUUGCUGAUUCUACAAGAAGGACAUAACAUUUUUCUUUCUUUAAAUUUUUCUAGUCCACCAUCAAUGAGAUUGCUUCGAUAGCAGACAACAAGGUAAUCAAGAAAUUCUUCGUGGAUACCAUGAAAGAACUAUUGGAGGCGACUCAGGAAGCAAUAAAGUCAAAGCAGAUUGAUGAUUCCAGUUCAAAGCAGAUUGAUGAUUCCAGUUCAAUGCAAAUUGACGCUUUGUCCAGCUCGAAAAUUAUGAGGAGGUUUGUUUAAAAAUUGCAAAGUAAUUCAUAAUUAGGUGUUUCUCAUCUGUCUGAAUGGGAGUUUUUUUUUCGGAAUCAUCGCAAGUAUCUCAUUUUGUAACAACCUCCUCCAGGGCCCUCUUAUUGGACUUUGCAGUUUCGCUUCUGCCUGGGCUGGGUGUAAAGGAGAUUGAUUUAUUAUUCAGUGCUAUUAAACCAGCAAUUGAGGUCCAUAUAUAGUUUAUUGCAAAUUAAAUCUUUUUAUCAAUGCUUUAUCUAUUGAUUGUGAUUCCCCAGAAAAAUUUAUUUCUUACAGGACGAAGGUUUAAUUCAGAAAAAAGCAUACAAAAUUCUUUCAGUUAUACUCAAGGUUAGUCUUGUAGGUAGAUCCUUGGAGAAGUGUUUCUUUUCUCGUCCAUGAAGUGUCAGCUGCUAAUUAUAUUUUCUGUUCAUUGCUAGGAUUCUGAUCAAUUCGUCAAAAGGAACUUGGAUGUGCUUCUCGACUUGAUGAUUAAAUCACUUACAUCUUGUCAAUUUCCAUCAAAACGUUAUCGACUUCAAUGUUUAUAUUACUUAAUUGUGUAUAUUUCAAAGGUUAGUGAUAAGAUCAACUCUCCUUUGAUGUUGGUGAUUUGGGUAUAUGAUGAUUCGGGCAUAUUAAGUAGACUUUAAUUAGAAAUCUGUUUUGUUGUUUAUAGGAUUCAUUCGAACAAAGGAAGAGGGACAUUGUUAGCUCCUUUCUCACAGAAAUAUUGCUAGCUUUAAAGGAGGUAAGCUGCUAGUUCUGUGAAGGUUUUGCGGUAUGUUACUAUGGGGCAAAUACUUGCUGUCUCUUAAUAGCAUAUUUAGUAGUAAUGAUUUUUGUUGUCUUCAUAUCUUGGAAAAGUCUAUCUUAUUCUCAUUUGCUAGUUGUUUGAAUAUUUGAUCCAUAAUGUAUGGAAGGUGUGAGAUUUUUCUAUAACAUUAAGGAAUCUGCAGAUGAUUUAUAUGGAUGUUCGAUGAUUUUUUUUCAUUGUUAUGGCUGUAGCAUCUAUCAGUCUGCUAUUUCCUUAGGGACUGCAUAAUUGUUCUUUGACUUUAAAAUUUAGCAAGACCCAGCUUUUUUUAUUAUUUUGUCAAUUGCAAUAAGUGUUAACUAUCUCUUUUAUCAGGCCAAUAAGAAAACAAGAAAUAGAGCUUAUGAUUUGCUUGUCGAAAUUGGUCAUGCUUGUGAAAAUGGAAACAAUGGCGGAAGCAGACAAAAAUUGCAACAACUUUUUAGUAUGGUAAUACUACUGAUUGAUGAUUUACCUUUUGAGUUGAUAUAUAUUUUUCUGUUGCCCAUAAGGGAGAAAAUCGAGAAAUACUAAACUUAAUCAACUGUUAGUGCUAAUGCUUUUAUCAUACAUCAAAUAGGAGUUUUCAUAUGAAAAUAUCUUAUCUUCCUCUGUUUACUCAGGUUGCUGGAGGUCUUGCCGGCGAAACCCCUCAUAUGAUUAGUGCUGCAAUAAAAGGGUUAGCUCGCUUGACCUAUGAGUUUUCAGAUCUCAUUGGUUUAGCUUACAACUUACUUCCAUCAGCAUUUCUCCUCCUGCAAAGGAAGAACCGUGAAAUUGUAAAAGUAUGUUUCAGUCUUGCAAGUUGUCUUUCUAAAUAAUGAGUAACUUUUUUUUCUUUAAAAAAAAAAACUCUCUAGUGUAGUGUGUGGUGUAGUGCACCCUUUUUUACCAUUUUUUUUUACUGACAUUUUGUGAUUUCUAAUAUAGGCUAAUUUAGGUUUUAUAAAAGUUCUGGUGGCCAAAUCCAAAGCUGAAGGGUUGCAAGAGCACCUAAGGGACAUGGUCGAGGGAUUGUUCAAGUGGCAAGAUGAUACGAAGAAUCACUUUAAAGCCAAGGUGCCUUUCUCUUUUCUGCAUAUAGUUCAAACAUGCAAACAUGAUUCUUAGUUCUGUGAUUUGUGCAAAUCAGAAGUUUUAUCCUUAAUGAAAACUGCUUUCUAGAUGUACAUCCAUCAACUAUAUCAGGGGGAAAAAAUCAAAAUAUAAAAAAGGGAAUUAUUUUAACUCACUGUGGCAUUCAUUCUGUAUGUUAUAUCUAGAUCAAGUUACUUCUUGAACUGCUGAUAAGGAAAUGUGGUUUGGAUGCUGUGAAAGCGGUUAUGCCUGAAGAACAUAUGAAACUGCUAACCAACAUAAGGAAGGUAAAUAUCAUUUUCUUCCUUGGUGCUAUUUAUAAUCCCUUUUUUUUUUUCCUUCGUCCUACCUUAAUUUCUCUUGAAAAGUAGAUUAAGGACCGAAAAGAACGGAAGACCAAAUCUUCAGACGAUGGAGAGUCACUUACAGCAAGAACAAGUAUCUCAAGGUAGCGUGAUUUCAAUAGUCUUUUAGUUGCAACUGAUAUAUAAUCGUAUAUGCACGUGCUUCAUAAAUCCCUUUUUUGGGCCCAACGAAUGGUUUCAUUUAGUAUUAUAAGAAACUUUUAAUUCUUUAGCCCCUGUUUGGUAUGGGGUUAAGGGGUGGAAUAAUCCCUUAACUCCAUACUUACUCCCAAACACUCACAAAAAUGGGUGGGGUUAGCUAACCCCACCUAACCCAGGAUAGCCCAUUUUGGGUGGGGUUAGCUAACCCCACCUAAACCCACCAAACCUCAAUCAAACACUAUUUUCUAUUCAUAAUAACCCACUAUCCUUCUUAUCUCAUCUACUCCAACCAAAUACUAUUUUUCACUAUCUUGGACUAACUCCAAUCCCCAACCAAACACAAAAAUACUCUAACCCCCUUAACCCUGAACUUAACCCUAUCCCUGAAAUAACUAGUUUUUCCUUAACCACGAACCAAACGGUUGCUUAAAGAAUUGGGUUGAUACUGUUUUACCACAGAGGACUCUAAAAUAUUAGCAUUACAUGCGUAUGUAAAAUAUGUUUCCCUGCCAAUGUCAGAGGCUUGUUUAAGUUUCCUGCGUCAAAUUCUUCUUACAUCUCCAUGUAUCUGGGGUUAGGCUAUGGACAUGCUUAGAAAGGUGAAGCUAUUAUAAUUCUGCUCCAUUCUGUGAUAAAAAUUCAAAUGGCUUGAGUUUCGUUUAGUACGUGCCUAUGCAGCCAAAUUCAUCUACUUCGUCUUGGUGUUGGAAGGAAGAAAUGUAUUUAUAGCAAGCUGCAUUCUGUUUGGUUGCAGUCGUCAUUUUCUGAACCUGAUACCUGUUUUUGUUAAUUUGCUAUUGCUUCAUGCUGUACAGGCAGAGUAGAUGGAAUCAUACUCGUAUUUUCUCUGAUUUUGGAGAUGAAGAUGGGAGCGACGAAGGUGAUGCUGAACUUGGGAUGGCCAAAUCCGUUAAUUCUUCUUAUCGGGGUUCAAAAGCUUUUUCAUCUAGGUACUUUUUCUCCUUCAAAUGCUUUUCAGGUGCAUCCUUUUUUCAAUUUUUAAAUUCUUCAACACUGUUCAUUUAAAAGUCAUCGUAUUCAUAACUCAUAUUCUUUGUUUCUAAAUAUUUAUUAUUAUCUUGAUGGCUUUUGCAUAGGUCUACGCGAAAGCGUAAGACAGCAAAAAGCUUAGCUGAAGAGUUGAUCGACCAAUCUGAUGGUGAUCCACUAGACUUGCUAGACCCUAAAACAAUGAGAACAGCGCUCCAAUCCUCGUCACAUACCAAAAGGAAUAGAUCAUCUCUUGAUGAGCCAGAGAUAGACCCCGAGGGCCGUCUAAUUGUGCGUGAGGAAGGCAGCAGACCUAGAAAGGAAAAGAGCUUCUCUUCUGAUCAGGACUUGGAUACAAAAAGCUUCUUGGGAAGCCGUUCUCUCGUGAGCACUUCAACAAGAGGACAGAAGCGUAGGAAAACAGCUGAAUCUGGGUGGUCGUACACGGGCAAAGAGUAUACCAGUAAGAGAGCCAGCGGGGACCUAAAGAAGAAGGAUAAGUUAGAGCCUUACGCUUAUUGGCCGCUUGAUCGGAAACUGCUUAACCGCCGGGCGGAGCGAAAAGCAUCUGCUCGGAAGGGCAUGGCGAGCGUUAUGAAGAAGUUCACGAAGAAGCUUGAAGGGACAAGUGCUACUGGUGCACUUUCCGUCAAGGAGAUGAAGGUAAGAAAGAAAGUAAAGGGAAGCAACAAAAGAAAGUAAGAUAUUGUUAAUUAUAUUUAAUGAUCUGAGAUGUACUGCAUCAAUGGUCAUCAUUUUUGUUUGGUUUAAAGUAUGGAGGAAAAGUUGCAUAUUGUGCGCGAGACUUUUCCUGGUUUUGAGGAUGUAUAGUCGCCGAAAGAGUGCAAACCGAAGCAAGUUGGAUGAAGACGGUGACUGUUAUUACCGGCUCGAAUUCGUAUUUGUAAUUGUAUGAUGAUUUUCUUUUUUGCCCCUAAACUUCUAUGGUGCCAAUAAUUUUUUGAUUUGUUGUAGAAUGUUCAGCUUUAAUUGUCUAUUUGGUGUUUUUUUUUUUUUUUUUUUUCCGUUUCGCCUGCGGUAGCGGGGGGAAAUGCAUAGGAUAUUUUCUCCUAUAGAAACUAUUCAGGUCGUAUAUGGAUAUGCAUAUGGAUAUGAUUUUAGAGAUUAAAAUUCAUUCGGAUAUUGAUAUGGAUUUGGAUUUUUGGACUUCUUUUUAAUAGUGUUAUAUUUUAUAUUUAAUAAAUUAUGUUGCAAUAUUAUAUCUCAGCGUUUCAUUCUCCUGGUUCCUAUAUCCAAAUAUUCUCUUCCUUUAUUCCAGUAUUAUGCUUUUUAAAGUUGGAAAAACUUUAAAUACCACUCUUGUUGUUUCGUAUUUUGUUAUUUUACUACCCUGUGGUCUAAAGUGUGUCAAUUUAGUAUUCUGCAGUUUUAUUUUUCUCUUUUUAUUUUUCUCUCCACUAAUUUUUUUUUUGUUAAAUCAGUGGUCUUUUAAAAUUAAAAGGUACUAAAGUGAAUAUUCGUUAAACUUAGGUGGGAUAUGUGAAAUUUUUUGUCUAUAAUUUAAUGAGAUGUUAACUGAGUUGAUGAAAAAAAAAAAAGAAAAAAAAAAAGAAAAAAAAAAGAAAGCACUAAAUUGAUACACUUUAAAUUACAGAAUACUAAAGUGAGAAAGUGCGAAAUCACACCGGUGGUAUUUGAAGUUUACCUUUUUAAGUUUCUAGAUUGGUAAAAAAAAAAAGAAAUCGUUGAUUGUUUGAUUGCUAAUGUGUGGGUCUACAGUCUCGAUCCAGGGCCGCCCGACCUGCUACUUCGGGCCAUGCUAGGCCGCUACCCUCAGGCCCGUUGGUCCGGCACCGCCCGGCCCAAAUUGGCAUGGGCUGUGCUCGCAAAUUUUCUCCGAACUCUUUAAAAUUUUAAAAAUUUUAAAAUUUUUUUUAUUAUAAAAAACUUUUUCUUAUAAAUUUUAAUGUUUUUUGACCAACUAUCAGUUCUUAAAAAUAAUUUUCAUCUUUUGUAUAUAUAAACUCCUUUGAUAUUAGUUAUUUCAAAAUUAAAUUUUAAAAUUAGAUAUUAAUAAUAACUAAAUCAAUCAACUCUUAUGAAGUAGUACAUAAUAUCGAUAAAGAGUAAUAUAAGGUAAGCAAGGUUUCAUGUGGGAGCAGUGGAUAAGAUCCAUUUUCCCUUUGCAUUAUUAUGAUCCCUCAUAACCAACAUAUGUUAGGUGGAUGAAGCAAUAAUUUCAUGUUAGAUCACUGUUGAGGAAAAAAAAAUGUUCAGAUUAUUGUGUACAAAAUCUUGGAAUGGGGAUAGAGCCAUUUUUUAUGAACUUUAAAAAAAAUAAAACAAAGGGUAAAUUGCACUACUAGUUCCUGAACUUUGAUUCGAGUUUUACUUUUGGUCCUCGAAGUUGCGAUUUGGAUGAUUGGGAUCUUGAAUUUUUAAUAAUGUUUCAAUUUAGUUCCUAAAUUUUCAACAAUAUUUCAUUCCGGUCCUUAUUGUUAUAUGCACUUGAUUUAUCUUCAGACAACAUAGUUUUUAAAUUCUUCACCAAUUUCAUAUGUUUAAUUUAACUGCUCAAUUUGUAUAUCGAGAAUAAUUAUAACUUAAUAAGUGCUAAAUUUCUUAAUUCUUCACCAAUUUCAUAUGUUUAAUUUAAUUUAAAAGCCCUGCGUGUAGGCAAUAAUUUGGUCUCUACUAUUAAAUAGGGAAUAUGCACAAAGGACUAAAAUGAAACUUUUCGAUAGCUAGAAACUAACUAUAGAGUAGGGUUACGAUAUUCCUAUAAGUAUAAAUUUUUUUAUACUUGUAAGUUUUCGGUCGUUGGAUGAGGAAACGUGCGGUUAGGAUGAUAGUAGUUUCCUGUUAGGAUGAUAGUGAUCCUCUUGGAUUUAGUAGGUGAUCAGUUGAAUAGUAUGAUCUAACAGAUAAAAAUGAUCAAGGAGAUAGAUUUAACGGUCGAAAAUUUAUGAGUAUAAAGAGAACUAUAGUCGUAAGAGUAGCCGGACUCCUAAUUAUA